rnacentral:rRNA from 1 species
AAUUGCAGAAUUCAGUGAAUCAUCGAAUCUUUGAACGCACCUUGCGCUCUCUGGUAUUCCGGGGAGCACACCUGUUCGAGUGUCAUUGA